rnacentral:rRNA from 1 species
UCGAAUGGGGAGAUUCAUCGUCAGCGGCCUCGGCCUCACGGCGGCGCGCGAUGCCACGCACGCGGAUCCUCGUGGUUCGCGUCGCGAUGGCACGCCGCCGUCGACGAACGUCCGGGGUCGUAGUCGUGCACUUCUCCCCUAGUAGAACGUCGCGACCCGUUGAGCGUCGGUCUACGGCCCGAGCGGUCGCCUGUCACGAGCGUGAAUGCGCACGCGGCAGACCCUCGGUCGCCCGGCCGGCUCCUCGGCGGUACUCGCACGGUAUCGGGCCGCAACCAUCCAAUUGAAUUCUGCGUCAGGCCCGCCGCAAGCGCGGUCAGCUUAACCCGGAGGCACGGACCUAGCGCCGUCCCCGGGGCUGGCCAGCUGUUGGUCGGCGGUGUCCUCGGACUGGCCAAGCUCUCGAAAUACCGGUCGGCGACGCUACUGCUUUGGGUACU